GUGGGGAAUAUUGGACAAUGGGCGAAAGCCUGAUCCAGCCAUGCCGCGUGUGUGAAGAAGGUCUUCGGAUUGUAAAGCACUUUAAGUUGGGAGGAAGGGCAGUAAGCUAAUACCUUGCUGUUUUGACGUUACCGACAGAAUAAGCACCGGCUAACUUCGUGCCAGCAGCCGCGGUAAUACGAAGGGUGCAAGCGUUAAUCGGAAUUACUGGGCGUAAAGCGCGCGUAGGUGGUUUUGUAAGUUGAAGGUGAAAUCCCCGGGCUCAACCUGGGAACUGCCUCCAAAACUGCAUGACUAGAGUACGGUAGAGGGUAGUGGAAUUUCCUGUGUAGCGGUGAAAUGCGUAGAUAUAGGAAGGAACACCAGUGGCGAAGGCGACUACCUGGACUGAUACUGACACUGAGGUGCGAAAGCGUGGGGAGCAAACAGGAUUAGAUACCCUUGUAGUCC
rnacentral:rRNA from 1 species